ACUCUGCUGAUAGCUUUCAUAAUGCACCCGACUCCCACUUAGUACAACAAUGAACCCACCGAUCGCUCACUCAAGUGUUCUUUCCUUGCAUCCAAACAUCACAUAUACAUAGGCCUACUCAUCUGUCUCUUACUGAGUGAUUCAUUCUGAACGCUGCACAGCUAAAUCACAACAUCUCUACUUUCAUACUCUCCCGGCUAUCUCAGUUUUCCAAGCUUUUCAUGCUUCACCUUUCAAACCUGCCUCAGUGUACAAGAAUUGAUAGCUAGAAAUCGAACUCGAAACCCAUCCAUCUUUCUCACAUUUUCACACUCACCCCAUCCAUCCUUCUGUCACUCUGUUGUUCCCUCCUCUGUUAGUUCCUUCCAUUUUUGUUUGGGACAUUCAUUAUUCCCUGCCUCUUCAAAUCUGUGCCAUCUUUGGUUUCCUAAGCUAUGUGACAACUAAUAGUCUGCUCUGCCUCAGUUUCUUCAUUUUGAAGUGAGAAUAAUAGGAGCACUUACCUCACACUUAAUAAGAUAAUAUUAGUAAAGUGCUUAUCACAGUGCCUGACACAUAGUAGGUUCUUAAUAAAUGCUUAUUUCCUUUUCCUCCUCUUCCCUUUUUUUCCUCUUUCCUUUCCUUUCCUUCCAUUCCUUUUUGGCCCUCUUAUAUUCUAUGUACAUUUGUAGAGUUGACUCUGCCAUCGUAGAAGAAGAUAAACCGGGUUCCUCCAUAUGAUGUCAGUGUUUGUUGUGGGAAGUUCUGUAUCUGAUUGACAAACAUAUCGAAUUAUGUUCCCACUCACUAAUUAUGAAAUACAAAUGAAAACACCGCUUCAAUUUCACAGAUUGGUAAACACGAAAACAAGAGACAAAUGUUAAAUACCUGUCCAAAUGAGUGUGAAAAUCUUGUCAGUGAGGAGAGCUGUGAGGAGCUCUUGGGAUUUGGGGAAACAUUUUGCUAUCAGCAUAUAAGCCAUUAAACCUACAUUUAUACUUGCUAUGUCAACAUUACUCAUAUAAACACACGAUCUAUAGAUCUAUUUUCCAGUUGGACACUCACAUGCAUGUAUGUUCACAUAUCCUACAUAUAUGAAAGAGAAACAAAAAGAAAGUACCCAUCCUUGUGGUAGCAAAGCAGGGGAAGGAAAGCCACAUGGUCUUGAGAAUGGCAGGACAGAUUGUGGUGGGCAGAUGUCAUGGAUUCUCAUUGUUCUGUGAACCAAAACAGAGACAAAUAUUAAGUAUUCAGAAAAAAUUAAGAAGCUUUGGAUAUGGUAGUGCAAAACAAAGUAAGUGGAAAGUAGGAGAGAACUUUACACGAAGGCCACUAGAAUAUUCAAUAAAAUAACACAGGAAAGUUCCGAGUUCUACUCACUGUAGGAACUUGCUCAUGACAGGUCACGUGUGGCUUCUUCCUUCUUCAGAGAGGUAGGGCACAAAUAAGGCCUACAUUGGUAGUCAAGGGCAAUAUAGCGCUUUGUUUUUCUGAAUUGCAAUGGAAUGCCAUUGAAACAUAGGACAACGUCAAUAGGAGGAUUUCAGAGAAUCUUGGGAAAACUCUCCCUUGAUCCUACCAUCCACACUAGAUAUCCCUCCAUUUAUAUAUACUCCUCUACUCUGCUGUGUCCCCCAUCUGUAUCCUUUCAUCUGUCUCUGUGUCCCGGUGUUCAUGUUUGUCUGUGACCCUGUCUUUUCCCACUUGCUCGUGUGUCUGCGUCCAUGUGUCUACAUGCUUCCUUGGUCACCAUCAUUUUCAUCUCUCUGUCUCUUCCUCUUUGGUACAGAUCUCCUUGAUAAAGCCAUCUACAGCUGCUGCCUCCACUUUAUUCACUGUUCCAAACUCUGUCCUCUAGCUUCCAACCUCAUCCUUCCACUAUUUCCUCUAAUGAUCCCCUACUUGCUAAACCCAAUGGCCUUUUCUCAGUCCUCAUCCUUCUUGACCUGUACGUUGCAUUCAGUGCGUUUAAAGAGGCCCCUUUUCCUGGAUAGUCUAAAUGUUUCUGGUUUUUGUAAACUUUGUUCUUUCUUGGUUCUUCUCCUGUCUGUCUCAUCAUUCAUUCUCCAUCUCCUUUGCUGGAUCAUCAUCUAAAUCAUACUUACUAAAUCUGUGCCCCCAAAGCCUUUGCCUUGAGCCAUCUUCUCUUUUCUCUUUCUAAUUGUCAUUUGAUGACUGUGUCAGUUCCCAUGAGUUUAUUGAUCAUAUCUAUAUAAAUGAUUUGGAGAUACCUAUAUUCAGCCCUCGUUUCUCUCCUGAGAUCUAGGAUUACAAAUUACCUAUUUUACAACUGGAUGCCUUCUAGGUAUAUCAGAUUCAACACGUGCAAAACAGAACACAUUUUCUUGCUCUAUCCAUAUGCUCUGUGUCCCUAAUCUGUGUGUCCAGCUUUUCUGGCCACAUGUAUCUCCUGGUUUGUCUAGUUACUAAUUUUUCUAUAUCUUUCACAGGUCUGUGUGUCUCCCAUCUUCAUGUAUCAUCUGUGUAUGUCCCUCUGGCUAGCCACGAGGCUCUCUGAAUAUCCACAGAUUGUCCCAUCUCUUUCCCAAAAUUUGUGCAUCUACCCAGCUUAUUCUUUUAUUUGUCCCUCUCUAUACAUUUACUUUUGUCUGUAAGUGCCCAUUUGUCUGUUCUUCCCUUUGCUUUUGUAUCCUCUUUGUCCAUGUGAAUUCAUAUAUUACCAUAUUCACGCUGUGUAUCUUCAGCUAUAUCCCCCACCUCCUGCCUCUGUUCCCCCAGAUAUUGAAGAGGCCCUCAAGCGAUCCACAUGUUCCCCAGCUGUUUAUAUCCCACCUUAUAUCUGGGCAUAUUUCCCCCAUUUGUCCUUCCAUUUGAAUUGUCUUAGGAAGAUUCUAAAAAUACUUGGCAAGAUAAGGUACCAGAUGCCGAGGUCCUCUCUCGACUUGCUUUGAGCACCAAAGACAAAAGCAAAUCCCCAUCUGUAUUCCCCUUCGGGUGUGCAUCCCUCCAUUUAUAUAUACUCCUCUACUCUACUGUGUCCCCCCCUAUCUUUAUCCUUUCAUCUGUCUCUGUGUCCCAGUGUUCAUUUUUAUCUGUAACCGUGUCUUUUCCCACAUGCUCGUGUGUCUGCAUCCAUGUGUCUACAUGCUUCCUUGGUCACCAUUCCCAUAUGUUCCCUUGUGCUGCUAUGUCCUGUCCCCCUCGCUCAUUUUCCCCAUUUGUGUUUCUCCCAGUUGUCGCUGCCCCAUGUCUAAGCAGCCCUAUUUGAUUCACCAUAUAGAUGUUUCUUUUAGAGCUCUCAUUUAUUUGACAUGUCUUCCAUCUGUCUCUUGGUAUCCCACUACCAGUGUGUGUUUCUCAUCUGUCAUUUCCCUCCAUUUCUCUUUUGUUCUAUCUCUAUUGCCCCUUUGUGUGUCUAUCUGACUCUCCUUCUGCCCAUAGGUCCUCAUCAGUGUGUCUCUGUAUUUACCCUCCCUGCUUCUACGUACGCUCUGUCAGCGUGUAUACCCUCUAUGUUUCUGUGUCUACCCAUGCCUCCUCACCUGGGAUAUUCCUUGUCUUUGGGUCUUCUUUGUUCCCGUCCAUUGUAUACGUCCUCAUCUGAGUCCCACUUCCUUCGUGUAUCCCUGUCUUGUUAUCCGAUGUCUGUUUGUCCUGCUUCUGUUUUUUAAAUAAUAGCUCUAUUUAUCAAAAUAUAUUCAGAGAGUUUUCAACAUGCACCAAAAAACCUUGGGUUCCAAAUUUGUCCCCCUCCCUUCCUCUCCACCUCUCCCUUCCCCUAGAUAGCAAGCAAUCUAAUAUAGAUAAAUCAUGUGUAAUGCUUGUAAACGUCUUUUCAUAAUUAUCAUGCUGCACAAGAAAAAUCACAUCAAAUGGGGAAAAAUGAGAAAGAAAAAAAAACCAAGCAAGCAAAUAACAGUAGCAAAAAAGGAGAAAAUACUUUGAUGUGCUCCCCAUUCAGUCGCAUAGUUCUCUCUGGAUGCAGCCGGCUCUCUCCAUCAUAUGUCCAUAGGAAUUGGCCUGAAUCGUCUCAUUGUUGAGGAGUCAUGUCAUGCUUCUGUUUGUACAUGUCUCUAUGCCCCAUUCUACAUAUCACAUAUGUCUGUUCCCAAUCUGUUUGUUGCCAAAUCCUCCCAUUUAAGCACCUGGUCUACGACUGUCAACCCUUCUUCCUGUCUGUAUGUCCUCCUCUGUAAGGACAUUUCUGUGUUCCCUCCACUCCCCUCUGGUCCAUAGGGAUCACUUUUGUCAGUCUGGGUCUCUGUCUACCAUUUGUCCACAUCACCCUCCUUGGGAGUUCCCUCUGCCCACCUGUGCAUGUCCUGUCUGUUUUGUCCCAUUCUGCCCUCCUCUCUGUCCCUAUGUUUGUGUGCCCCAACUAUACCUUCCCUUAUGUGGAUCUCAUCUGGGUCUCCGUGGCAGUCUGUGUUUCAUCUGUCUCUCCAUUGGUGUGCCCACUCCCUUCUCUAUCUGUCAUGUCUGUGUGGCCCUUGUCUGGUCAUGUGCCCCUUCUUGUGUACGUGAAUGGGCAUGACCCCAUCUGGGUGCAUCUCCUUGUCAGGGCUCUCUGCCUGCAUCUGCUCCUGUUCCUGUAUGUCUCUCCCCCAUUCAUUUCUAUGACCUCCUGUCUUUCUGGGCAUCCUGGCAUCCCCAUGUCUGACUGUGCUGCACCCUACAUUUCAUGCCAAUGUAUGUCUGUUUCUUGGGGUCCUUCUGCCAAGAAACUGUGCUUUUCUUAAAGAAGGCACUUACUAGUAUAUCAGCCUGGGUGACUUCCACACUCCACCCGCGGCCCAUGUGGAGACUGCAGGUCACAAAAGAUCCCAGAUCAUUUUUAUCCCUCUCCCUCCAACUUUUCUCGUGGCUCUCUUCAGUUGGUUGUCUAUCUAUUACUUUGAGUCCUAUCUUUCUUCACAGCCACCCCUGUCCUAACAUUUUCCUGCCUCCCAUCAUCUGUCUCUAAUGUCUGCUUAUCUCUGUGUCCCAUGUACCUCCCUUUCUAUGGACCUAUCCGAGUGGCUCCCUGUCUCCAGGAGCCCUUCUCCCAGCAUGAACAAAGCGGUUUGCAAACCUUAAAUAUUUAUAUAAGUUUGAGAUAUUAUUAUUAUUAUUAUUAUUAUUAUUAUUAUUAUUAUUAUUAUUACUAUGAUUAGCACUCCUUGGAUAUUUCACUCAACACUUCUAAGUUGUUAUCAGCCCAUUCAUGACCGCCACUUUGCCCUGGUCAUCCAAGCACUUGUGAAAGCACCUAAUGAUACCGUCACCUAGUAGCCAUCACUCCCUUUUUCCCCAGAGCAACACAACAUACUCAGGCAAAUAAAAAUACAUGGCGAAAAUCUAGGUAAAUUAUAAAUUACAUCCCCAGAUGAUACAAUCCAGUAACCCUUUUCUCUCUUACCUGAUUCACUUUAUGGGCUCCGGUAUUUUGAACGUUGAAGAUUUGUGACCCCAGAGACCUUAGCAUACCAGGCCCUUCUGUCUGCUAUCUUACAAAGUCUGUCCAAGUUCACGUUUGCUCCUUCCAUGACACUCUCUCAUCUUUGUCACCUCCUGCCAUCCUCUUCUCCUUUUGCCUUCAAUCUUUUCAAACAUCAGAGAAGGACACUAUAGAAAGAAACAGAGAUGUUUCAGAGACAUGACAGGGUAGAGGUGAGAUUGAUUGCUUUCUCUUGUUUUUUGGGAACUCUUUGGUACCAUGAGUGUCAGAGCUAGGAUCAGAGGCCCUGACUUUGAAGGCAUCUUCCAGAGACAGAUGCUUUAGAGUCUGAACCGCCUGCUUAGUGACCAGCUGAUAUUCUCAAGUUCCAUCGAAACUCUAGCCUUGUAUUUCAGACCUCCAGGAGCAGAUUCUAAAUGGAACACAAUGAGAGAGCACCUCCACAUUUAAGAGUUUGGAGGAACUUUGUUCCCUUGGACUACAGGUGUCCUUAAAAUCUGUCUCCACUUUAAAAACCAGUGAAAAGGAAAGCCCUAGCUGAGGGGAGGAAUCCCAUUGAAUUCUAGUAUUACACAGUCAACCAUAACCAAGAGCUACUUCAGCUGCCAGGAGUAACCUUUCACUCCUAGUCUCCUAACAGCUGUUCUCAUUUGAGCUCCCCUCUGAGCUUAGUAGUUUCUAGUUCUGUGUAUCAAAGCUGUUACUAACAAGUAAUGGCAGCAGUUAGGGAGAAAGGCUAACUAUACUAGGAGGCCCGUAAAACUUUCCACCUUUAGGAGGGAGGAAUCGUGUUACUCUCACAUGUGAAAAUGACAACUGGUGUCCGUAUGAAUUGAAUCAAAAGCAGUUCAAAGUGAACUCCAAAGGCGAAGUUGAGAUCCAUAGAAAAAAACUUUGGUACAGCAGGUUCAAACCAUCAAUUACUUGGACAGCAGCUUCUUUCCAUGUUUACCAGAUGAAUAUCACUAAUAAUAAGAAAAUGACAAAUGAAAACAGUUGUAAAGAUUGAGCUCACAUCCAUCAGAUAAACAAAGAGAACAAAAUGUAGAAACAAUAAAUUACUAGACAGGCACAAUAAUACACUAAUCUUACUGAGAAGACAUCUAAUUUAUCCCUAUUACAAACAAUACUUCUUCUUGGUUUUAAAAAGAGACUAUAAUUUUUUAAAAACCUCUAUUUAUUCCUGUGCUUUCUGGGUUUUUUUUUUCUAGAAAUAGGUGUAUUUUCUCAAGUUUUUUUUGUAUCUAUUGAGAUAAUCACAUGAUUUUUGUUACUUUUGUUAUUAAUAUGAUCAUUUAUGCUAAAAGUUUUCCCAAUAUUGAAUAAGCCUUACAUUCUUGAUAUAAAUCCAACCUGAUAAUAUAUGAAGUUUCUGAAAUAUUGCUAUAAUCUCCUCACUAGUAUUUUAUUUAAAAUUUUUGAAUCAAUACUCAAUAGGAAGGUAUGAGCAACAUAUUUCUGUAGUAAAAUGAAAUUUGGUAGGAUAACUUCUUUGCCUAUUUUUCCAAAGAGUUUAAAUAGUAUUAGAAUUAAUUCUUUUUUAAAAUGAUUGUUAGAAUACACAUAUGAAUCAAAUUGUUCCUAAGGACUUUUUAUGUGCCCAUUGAUGGCAUGUUAAAAUUUCUUUGUCUAACAUAGAGUUAUUUAAGAAUUCCAUUUCCCAUUCUGUUAAUUUGGGCAAUUUUAUAUUUAUUGGGUCAAUUUUUAACUUCUAAUUUUAUCAAUCCUUUGUUUUUUUAAGAUUUCUAUAAUAACAUUUAAUAAAAAGUUUUUUUUUAAUAAUCUUUUUCUGUUUUCUUUUUAACUAUAAGCCCAAUUCAUUGUUCUGCUUUUUUCUUUUUUAUUAUUAUAAGCAUUUAGAGAUAUAAUUAUUUUCCUAAGGAAAAUAAAUAUUUUCCUAUUUUUCCAACUUUGGCUACAUUCCAGAAAUUUUGGUACAUUGUCUCAUUGUUAUUACUAUUCUUUAAUGAAUUUAUUGGUUCUAUGGUCCACCCAAUUUUUAGGACUUUUGUGUUUCCAAUUGAUGUUUAACCUAGGCUUCCAAAGGUCUUUAUUGAACAAAAUGUUUACUAUUUUAUGGUACCAAAAGAGUACAUAUGCCAUUUCUGAUUUUCUGUAGUUUAGUGAGGUUUUUAUGCCUUCUAUGGUAAGUUUCUUGAGGAUAACUAUAUGUAGCUUCUAUAUUCCCAAUCAGUUUUCUCCAGAGGUCUAUGAAAUCUAACUUUUCUAAUAUUCUAUUCAUCUCCUUAACUUGUUUCUUAUUUAUUUUAUUGCUAGAUGUAAUUAGUUCUAAGUGGUAAACUGAGGUUCCCCACUAGUAAACUUAUAAUAUUUCCUCCUCUAACUCAAUAUCCCUUGAGGAUCUAGAAUCUAUUCAAUUUGAUACUUACGUUUUAGUAUUGGUAUUACAUCAUUAUCUAUGAUACCUGUUAAUGAAAUGGAGUUUCCCUGGCUAUCUCAUUUAGUUGGGGAUAUUUUUGUUUUUGCUUCAUUUGAGAUCCUAAUUCUAAUGCCUACCCUACUAAGCUCAUCAGAAGCAAAAUAGAUUCUGCUUUAGCACCUUAUUUUAACUCUUAUGUGUUUUUCUGUUCCAUGUAUGUUUCCUGUAAACAACAUAUUUGUUGGAUUCUCUUAUCUUAAUUUAUUAUGUUUUCUGCUUCCAUUUUAUGGCUGAGUUCAUCCCAUUCCCAGUUAUGAUCAAUAACUAUUACCCUACAUCCUAUUUUUUAUCAUACUCUUUUUAAAAUUCUAUCCCUCUUCUAAACUCUAUUCUGCUUCUUAGAACUACCUCCUUUAAUGCCAUCAAAGCAAAGCUGCAGGAGGAACUUUUGCUUCCUUAUAGUGGCAAGUGCAUGUCUUCUCCCUGGAGCUACAACAGGGACUUCUGGUUACUUGUGAUGGCAAGUGCUCCUCUUCACCCUGUCGCUAUAGCAGGGAAUUCUGGUUAGGUGUGAUGGGACUGCUCUUAUUUACCCCUGGAACAGCAGCAGGGACUUCUCGUAACUUUUGAUGGCAACUGCACCUCUUCACCCUCGAGUGGCAUCAGAAAAUUCUGGUUACUUGUGAUGGCAAGUUUUCCUCUUCACCCUGGAGCAAUAGCCGGGACGUCGAGUAAAGUGUGAUGGCAAGUGUUCCUCUUCACCCUGUCACUAUAGCAGGGAAUUCUGGUUACGUGUGAUGGGACUGCUCUUAUUUACCCCUGGAACAGCAGCAGGGACUUCUCGUAAUUUUUGAUGGCACCUCUUCACCCUCGAGUGGCAUCAGGAAAUUCUGGUUACUUGUGAUGGCAAGUUUUCCUCUUCACCCUGGAGCAAUGGCCGGGACUUCGAGUAAAGUGUGAUGGCAAGUGUUCCUCUUCACCCUGGACCUGCAGCAGGAACUUCAAGUAAUUUGUGAUGGCAACUGUUGUUCUUCACCCUGGAGCUGCAGGAGGGACUUCUGCUUACUUGUGAUGGCAAGUGUUCGUCUUCACCCUGGAGCUGCUACAGGGACUUCUGGUUACUUGUGGUGAAAUGUGUACCUCUUCAGCCAGGAGCUGCAGCAGGGACUUCUGGUAACUUGGGAUCACAAGUGUUCCUCUUCACCCUGGAGCUACAGCAGGGACUUCUGGUUACUUGUGAUGACAAGUGUUCGUCUUCACCCUGGAGCUGCAGCAGGAACUGCUGGUAUCUUGUGAUGGCAAGUAUUCCUCUUCACACUGGAGCGUCAGCAGGGACUUCUGGCACCUUGUAAUGGCAACUAUUGUUCUUCACCCUGGAGCAGCAGCAGGGACUUCUGGUAACUUGUGAUGGCAAGUGUUCCUCUUCACCUUGGAGCAGCAGCAGGGACUUCUGGCAACUUGUAAUGGCAACUAUUGUUCUUCACCCUGGAGCAGCAACAGGGACUUCUGGUAACUUCUGAUGGCAAGUGUUCCUCUUCACCUAGGAGCAGCAGCAGGGACUUCUGGGUCCUUGUGGUCACAAGUGUUCCUCUUCACCCUGGAGCAGCAGCAGGGACUUCUGGCAAAUUGUGAGGGCAACUGUUGUUCUUCACCCUGGAGUAGCAGCAGGGACUUCUGGUAACUUGUGAUGGCAACUGUUCCUCUUCACCCUGGAGCUGCAGCAGGAACUUCUGGUAUCUUGUGAUGGCAAGUAUUCCUCUUCACACUGGAGCGUCAGCAGGGACUUCUGGCACCUUGUAAUGGCAACUAUUGUUCUUCACCCUGGAGCAGCAGCAGGGACUUCUGGUAACUUGUGAUGGCAAGUGUUCCUCUUCACCUUGGAGCAGCAGCAGGGACUUCUGGCAACUUGUAAUGGCAACUAUUGUUCUUCACCCUGGAGCAGCAGCAGGGACUUCUGGUAACUUGUGAUGGCAAGUGUUGCUCUUCACCUAGGAGCAGCAGCAGGGACUUCUGGGUCCUUGUGGUCACAAGUGUUCCUCUUCACCCUGGAGCGGCAGCAGGGACUUCUGGCAAAUUGUGAGGGCAACUGUUGUUCUUCACCCUGGAGUAGCAGCAGGGACUUCUGGUAACUUGUGAUGGCAACUGUUCCUCUUCACCCUGGAGAUGCAGCAGGGACUCCUGGUAACUUGUGAUGGCAAGUGUUCCUCUUCACCCUGGAGCAGCAGCAGGGACUUCUGGUAACUUGUGAUGGCAAGUAUUCCUCUUCACCCUGGAGCGUCAGCAGGGACUUCUGGUUACUUGUCAUCACAAGUGUUCCUCUUCACCCUGGAGCAGCAGCAGGGACUUCUGGCAACUUGUGAUGGCAACUGUUGUUCUUCACCCUAGAGCAGCAGGAGGGACUUGUGGUUACUUUUGGAGGCAAGUGCUUUUCUUCACACUGGACCUGCAGCUGUGAUGUCCAGUUAUUGGUGAUAGUAAGUGUUCUUCUUCAAAUGGGUACUGCAGCUUGGACCUCUGCUUGGUUGUGAUGGCAAAGGCCUCUCUCCAUCUUGGAGCUGCAGCUGAGACAGCUGCUUGGUUGUGAUGGAAAAGUUGUCUCUGCAUCCUGGAACUGCAGCUGAGACCUCUGCUUUCUUCUGAUAGCAAAGGCCUCUCUCCACCACUGAGCUGUAGCUGAGACCUCUGCUUUGUUUUGAUAGAAAAGGCCUCUCUCCCUCCCUAAUCUGCAGCUGGGUCCACUGCAUUUUUAUUGGGGUAAUUGGUCUUCAUCACCCGGUAGCUACAGGAAAGAUUUCUGGUAACUUUUGAUGGCAAAUGGUCCUAUUCACCCUGGAGCUACAGCAGGGACUUCUGGCAACUUAUGAUGACAAGUCUUGCUCUUCAACCUGGAGCGGCAGCAGGGACUUCUGGGUACUUGUGGUAACAAGUGUUCCUCUUCACCCUGGAGCUACAGCAGGGACUUCUGGAUACUUUUGAUGACAAGUGUUCCUCUUCACCCUGGAGCUGCAGCAGGAACUUCUGGUAUCUUGUGAUGGCAAGUAUUCCUCUUCACACUGGAGCGUCAGCAGGGACUUCUAGUUGCUUGUGGUCACAAGUGUUCCUCUUCACCCUGGAGCAACAGCAGGGACUUCUGGCAACUUGUAAUGGGAACUGUUGUUCUUCACCCUGGAGCAGCAGCAGGGACUUUGGGGUACUUGUGGUCACAAGUGUUCCGCUUCACCCUGGAGCAGCAGCAGGGACUUCUGGCAACUUGUGAUGGCAACUUUUGUUCUUCACCCUGGAGUAGCAGCAGGGACUUCGGGGUACUUGUGGUCACAAGUGUUCCCUUUACCCUGGAGCUACAGCAGGGACUUCUGGUUACUUGUGAUGACAAGUGUUCGUCUUCACCCUGGAGAUGCAGCAGGAACUUCUGGUCAUUUGUGGUGUCAAGUUCUUUUUGUCACACUGGACAUACAGCUGGGACGUCUAAUUAUUGGUGAUAGGAAGUGUUCUUCUUCAAACAGGAGCUGCAGCUUGGACUUCUGCUUAGUGUUGAUGGCAAAGGCCUCUCUCCAUCUUGGAGCUGAAGCUGAGACAGCUUCUUGGUUGUGAUGGCAAAAGCCUCUCUCCACCCCGGAGCUGUAGCUGAAACCUCUGCUUUAUUUUGAUAGAAAAGGCCUCUCUCCACCCCUAAUCUGCAGCUGCGUCCUCUGCAUUUUUCUUGGGGUAAUUGGUCUUCUUCACCCAGUAGCUACAGGAAAGAUUGCUGGUAACUUUUGAUGGCAAAUGUUCCUAUUCACCCUGGAGCUGCAGCAGGAACAUCUGGUAAAUUGUGAUGGCAAGUGUUCCUCUUCAUCCUGGAGCUGCAACAGGGACAUACGGUAAGUUUGAUGGCAAGUAUUGCUCUUCACCCUGGAACGUCACCAGGGAUUUCUGGUUACUUGUCGUCACAAGUGUUCCUCUUCACCCUGGAGCAGCAGCAGGGACUUCUGGGUACAUUUGGUCACAAGUGUUCCUCUUCACCCUGGAGCAGCAGCAGGGACUUCUGGUAACUUGGGAUCACAAGUGUUCCUCUUCACCCUGGAGCUGAAACAGGGACUUCUGGUUACUUUUGAUGACAAGUGUUCGUCUUCACCCUGGAGCUGCAGCAGGAACUUCUGGUAUCUUGUGAUGCCAAGUAUUCCUCUUCACACUGGAGCGUCAGCAGGGACUUCUGGCAACUUGUAAUGGCAACUAUUGUUCUUCACCCUGGAGCAGCAGCAGGGACUUCUGUUAACUUGUGAUGGCAAGUGUUCCUCUUCACCUAGGAGCAGCACCAGGGACUUCUGGGUCCUUGUGGUCACAAGUGUUCCUCUUCACCCUGGAGCAGCAGCAGGGACUUCUGGCAACUUGUGAGGGCAACUGUUGUUCUUCACCCUGGAGUAGCAGCAGGGACUUCUGGUAAUUUGUGAUGGCAACUGUUCCUCUUCACCCUGGAGAUGCAGCAGGGACUCCUGGUAACUGGUGAUGGCAAGUGUUCCUCUUCACCCUGGAGCAGCAGCAGGGACUUCUGGGUAUUUGUGGUCAAAAGUUUUCCCCUUCACCCUGGAGCAGCAGCAGGGACUUCUUGCAACUUGUGAUGGCAACUGUUGUUCUUCACCCUAGAGCAGCAGGAGGGACUUCUGGUUACUUUUGGAGGCAAGUGCUUUUUUUCACACUGGACCUGCAGCUGUGAGGUCCACUUAUUGGUGAUAGGAAGUGUUCUUCUUCAAACGGGAGCUGCAGCUUGGACCUCUGCUUGGUUGUGAUGGCAAAGGCCUCUCUCCACCCCUAAGCUGCAGUUGGGACGUCUGCGUAGUUGUGAUGGCAAAGGCCUCAUUCUAUCCUGGAGCGGUAUAUGACACCUCUGCUAGGUUAUAAUAGCAAAGACCUCUGUCCAACCCAGAGCUGCAACUGAGACCUCUGAUUUGUUAUGAUAUCAAAGGCCUCUCUCCACCCCUAAGCUGCAGCUGUGUCUUCUGCAUUUUUCUUAGGGAAAUUGGUCUUCUUCACCCACUAGCUUCAGGAAAGAUUUCUGGUAACACCGAAAUUGGUCUUCUUCACCCAUUAUGUUCAGGAAAGAUUUCUGGUAACAUUUCAUGGCACGUGGUCCUCUUCACCUUGGUGCAGAAGCAGGGACUUUAGGCAACUUGUAAUGUAAACUGUUGUUCUUCACCCUGGAGGUACAGCAGGGACUUCUGGUAACUUGUGAUGGCAAGUGUUGCUCUUCACCCUGGAGCUGCAGCAGGGACUUCUGGUAACUUGUGAUGGCAAGUAUUCCUCUUCACCCUGGAGCGUCAGCAGGGACUUCUGGUUACUUGUCAUCACAAGUGUUCCUCUUCACCCUGGAGCAGCAGCAGGGACUUCUGGCAACUUGUGAUGGCAACUGUUAUUCUUCACCCUAGAGCAGCAGGAGGGACUUCUGGUUACUUUUGGAGGCAAGUGCUUUUCUUCACACUGGACCUGCAGCUGUGAUGUCCAGUUAUUGGUGAUAGUAAGUGUUCUUCUUCAAAUGGGAGCUGCAGCUUGGACCUCUGCUUGGUUGUGAUGGCAAAGGCCUCUCUCCAUCUUGGAGCUGCAGCUGAGACAGCUGCUUGGUUGUGAUGGAAAAUUUGUCUCUGCAUCCUGGAACUGCAGCUGAGACCUCUGCUUUCUUCUGAUAGCAAAGGCCUCUCUCCACCACUGAGCUGUAGCUGAGACCUCUGCUUUGUUUUGAUAGAAAAGGCCUCUCUCCCCCCCUAAUCUGCAGCUGGGUCCACUGCAUUUUUCUUGGGGUAAUUGGUCUUCAUCACCCGGUAGCUACAGGAAAGAUUUCUGGUAACUUUUGAUGGCAAAUGGUCCUAUUCACCCUGGAGCUACAGCAGGGACUUCUGGCAACUUAGGAUGACAAGUCUUGCUCUUCAACCUGGAGCGGCAGCAGGGACUUCUGGGUACUUGUGAUAACAAGUGUUCCUCUUCACCCUGGAGCUACAGCAGGGACUUCUGGAUACUUUUGAUGACAAGUGUUCCUCUUCACCCUGGAGCUGCAGCAGGAACUUCUGGUAUCUUGUGAUAGCAAGUAUUCCUCUUCACACUGGAGCGUCAGCAGGGACUUCUAGUUGCUUGUGGUCACAAGUGUUCCUCUUCACCCUGGAGCAACAGCAGGGACUUCUGGCAACUUGUCAUGGGAACUGUUGUUCUUCACCCUGGAGCAGCAGCAGGGACUUCUGGCAACUUGUGAUGGCAACUUUUGUUCUUAACCCUGGAGUAGCAGCAGGGACUUCUGGUAACUUGUGAUCACAAGUGUUCCUCUUCACCCUGGAGCUACAGCAGGGACUUCCGGUAACUUGUGAUGGCAAGUGUUGCUCUUCACCCUGGAGCUGCAGCAGGGACUUCUGGGAACUUGUGAUGGCAACUGUUGUUCUUCACCCUAGAGCAGCAGGAGGGACUUCUGGUUACUUUUGGAGGCACGUGCUUUUCUUCACACUGGAACUGCAGCUGUGAUGUCCACGUAUUGGUGAUAGGAAGUGUUCUUCUUCAAACGGGAGCUGCAGCUUGGGCCUCUGCUUGGUUGUACUGGCAAAGGCCUCUCUCCACCACUAAGCUGCAGCUGUGUCUUCUGCAUUUUUCUUAGGGAAAUUGGUCUUCUUCACCCAGUAGCUUCAGGAAAGAUUUCUAGAAACAUUUCAUGGCACGUGGUCCUCUUCACCUUGGAACAGCAGCAGGGACUUUAGUCAACUUGUAAUGGAAACUGUUAUUCUUCACCCUAGAGCAGCAGCAGGGACUUCUGGUAACUUGUGAUCACAUGUGUUCCUCUUCACCCUGGAGCUACAGCAGGGACUUCUGGUAACUAUUGAUGGCAAGUGUUGCUCUUCACCCUGGAACUGCAGCAGGGACUUCUGGUAACUUGUGAUGGCAAGUGUUGCUCUUCACCCUGGAGCUGCAGCAGGGACUUCUAGUAACUUGUAAUGGCAAGUAUUCCUCUUCACCCUGUAGCGUCAGCUGGGACUUCUGGCAACUUAUGAUGGCAAAUGUUGUUUUUCACCCUGGAGCAGCAGGAGGGACUUCUCAUUACUUGUGGAGGCAAGUUCUUUUCUUCACACUGGACCUGCAGCUGGGACAUCUACUUAUUGGUGAUAGGAAGUGUUCUUCUUCAAACGGGAGGUGCAGCUUGGACUUCUGCUUAGUUGUGAUGGCAAAGGCCUCUCUCCAUCUUGGAGCUGCAGCUGAGACAGCUUCUUGGUUGUGAUGGCAAAGGUGUCUCUACUUCCUAGAACUGCAGCUGAGACCUGUGCUUAGUUGUGAUGGCAAAGGCCUCUCUCCACCCCUAAGCUGCAGUUGAGACGUCUGCGUAGUUGUGAUGGCAAAGGCCUCGUUCUAUCCUGAAAUGGUAAAUGAGACCUCUGCUAGGUUGCGAUAGCAAAGACCUCUGUCCAACCCAGAGCUGCAACUGAGACCUCUGAUUUGUUAUGAUAUCAAAGCCUUCUCUCUCCACCCCUAAGCUACAGCUGUAUCUUCUGCAUUUUUCUUAGGGAAUUUGGUCUUCUUCACCCACUAGCUUCAGGAAAGAUUUCUAGUAACCUUUCAUGGCACGUGGUCCUCUUCACCUUGGAGCAGCAGCAGGGACUUCAGGCAACUUGUAAUGGAAACUGUUGUUCUUCACGCUGAAGCAGCAGGAGGGACUUCUGGUAACUUGUGAUCACAAGUGUUCCUCUUCACCCUGGACCUACAGCUGUGACUUCUGGUACCUUGUGAUGGCAAGUGUUCCUCUUCACCUGGGAGCAGCAGCAGGUACUUCAGGCAACUUGUAAUGGCAACUGUUGUUCUUCACCCUGGAGCAGCAGCAGGGAUUUCUGGGUACUUGUGGUCACAAGUCAUCCUCUUCGCCUUGGAGCAGCAGCAGGGACUUCUGGUAACUUGUGAUCACAAGUGUUCCUCUUCACCCUGGAGCUACAUCAGGGACUUCUGGUAACUUGUGAUGGCAAGUGUUCCUCCUCACCUUGGAGCAGCAGCAGGGACUUCAGGCAAUUUGUAAUGGUAACUGUUGUUCUUCACCCUGGAGCAGCAGCAGGGACUUCUGGUUACUUGUGAUGACAACUGUUGUUCUUCACCCUGGAGUAGCAGCAGGGACUUCUGCUUACAUGUUAUGUUAACUGUUGUUCUUCACCCUGGAGCAGUACCAGGGACUUCUGGUUACUUGUGGUGGCAAGAUCUUUUUGUCACACUGGACAUGCAACUGGGACGUAUAGUUAUGGGGAAUAUGAAGUGUUUUUCUUCAAACGGGAGGUGCAGCUUGGACUUCUGCUUAGUUGUGAUAGCAAAGGCCUACAUCCAUCCUUAAGCUGCAGCUGGGACAUCUAUGUAGUUGUGAUGGAAAACGCCUCUCUCCAUCUUGGAGCUGCAGCUGAGAUCUCUGCUUUGUUUUGAUAGAAAAGGCCUCUCUCCACCCUUAAUCUGCAGCUGCGUCCUCUGCAUUUUUCUUGGGGUAAUUGGUCUUCUUCACCCAGUAGCUACAGGAAAGAUUUCUGGUAACCUUUGAUGGCAAGUGUUGCUCUUCACCCUGGAGCUGCAGCAGGGACAUCUGGUAACUUGUGAUGGCAAGUAUCCCUCUUCAACCUAGAGCGUCAGCAGGGACUUCUGGUUACUUGUCGUCACAAGUGUUCCUCUUCACCCUGGAGCAGUAGCAGGGGCUUCUGGCAAAUUGUGAUGGCAACAGUUGUUCUUCACUCUGGAGCAGCAGGAGGGACUUCUCGAUACUUGUGGAGGCAAGUUCUUUUCUUUACACUGGACCUGCAGCUGUGAUGUCCAGUUAUUGGUGAUAGGAAGGGUUCUUCUUCAAACAGGGGCUGCAGCUUGGACCUCUGCUUUGUUGUGAUGGCAAAGGCCUCUCUCCACCCCUAAGCUGCAGCUGCGUCUUCUGCAUUUUUGUUAGGGAAUUUGGUCGUCUUCACCUAGUAGCUUCCGGUAAGAUUUCUAGUAACAUUUCAUGGCAGGUGGUCUUCUUCACCUUGGAGCAGCAGCAGGGACUUCAGGGAACUUGUAAUGGAAACUGUUGUUCUUCACCCUGGAGGUACAGCAGGGACUUCUGGGUACUUAUGGUCACAAGUGUUCGUCUUUACCCUGGACCUGCAGCAGGAACUUCUGGUAACAUGUGAUGACAAGUAUUCCUCUUCACCCUAGAGCGUCAGCAGGGAAUUCUGGUUACUUGUGGUCACAAGUGUUCCUCUUCACCCUGCAGCAGCAGCAGGGACUUCUGGGUACUUGUGGUCACAAGUGUUCCUCUUCACCCUGCAGCAGCAGCAGGGACUUCUGGGUACUUUUGCUCACAAGUGUUCCUCUUCACCCUGGAGCUACAGCAGGGACUUCUGAUUACUUGUGAUGACAAAUGUUCGUCUUCACCCUGGAGCUGCAGCAGGGACUUCUGGUAACUUUUGAUGGCAACAGUUGUUCUUCACCCUGGAGCAGCAGGAGGGACUUCUCGAUACUUGUGGAGGCAAGUUCUUUUCUUUACACUGGACCUGCAGCUGUGAUGUCCAGUUAUUGGUGAUAGGAAGGGUUCUUCUUCAAACAGGAGCUGCAGCUUGGACCUCUGCUUGGUUGUGAUGGCAAAGGCCUCUCUCCACCCCUAAGCUGCAGCUGCGUCUUCUGCAUUUUUCUUAGGGAAUUUGGUCAUAUUCACCUAGUAGCUUCCGGUAAGAUUUCUAGUAACAUUUCAUGGCAGGUGGUCUUCUUCACCUUGGAGCAGCAGCAGGGACUUCAGGGAACUUGUAAUGGAAACUGUUGUUCUUCACCCUGGAGCAGCAGCAGGGACUUCUGGGUACUUAUGGUCACAAGUGUUCGUCUUUACCCUGGACCUGCAGCAGGAACUUCUGGUAACAUGUGAUGACAAGUAUUCCUCUUCACCCUAGAGCAUCAGCAGGGAAUUCUGGUUACUUGUGGUCACAAGUGUUCCUCUUCACCCUGCAGCAGCAGCAGGGACUUCUGCGUACUUUUGCUCACAAGUGUUCCUCUUCACCCUGGAGCUACAGCAGGGACUUCUGAUUACUUGUGAUGACAAAUGUUCGUCUUCACCCUGGAGCUGCAGCAGGGACUUCUGGUAACUUUUGAUGGCAAGUGUUCCUCUUCACCUGGGAGCUGCAGGAGGGACUUUUGGUUACUUGUGAUCACAUGUGUUCCUCUUCACCCUGGAGCAACAGCAGGGACUUCUGGCAACUUGUGAUGGUAACUGUUGUUCUUAACCAUGGAGUAGCAACAGGGAUUUCUGGGUACUUGUGGUCACAAGUGUUCCUCUUCACCCUGAAGCAGCAGCAGGGACUUCAGGUUACAUGUUAUGUUAACUAUUGUUCUUCACCCUGGAGUAGCACCAGGGAUUUCUGGCAACUUGUGAUGGCAAAUAUUGUUUUUCACCCUGGAGCAGCAGGAGGGACUUUUGGUUACUUGUGGAGGCAAGUUCUUUUCUUCACACUGGACCUGCAGCUGGGACAUUUAGUUAUUGGUGAUAGGAAGUAUUCUUCAAAUGGGAGGUGCAGCUUGGACCUCUGCUUAGUUGUGAUGGCAAAGGCCUCGUUCUAUCCUGGAGCGGUAAAUGAGACCUCUGCUACGUUGUGAUAGCAAAGACCUCUGUCCAACCCAGAGGUGCAACUGCGACCUCUGAUUUGUUGUGCUAUCAAAGGCCUCUCUCGACCCGUAAGCUGCAGCUGUGUCUUCUGCAUUUUUCUUAGGGAAUUUAGUCUUCAUCACCUAGUAGAUUUAGAAAAGAUUUCAGGGCACAUGGUCCUCUUCACCUUGGAACAGCAGCAGGGACUUUAGUCAACUUGUAAUGGAAACUGUUAUUCUUCACCCUAGAGCAGCAGCAGGGACUUCUGGGUACUUGUGAUGACAAGUGUUCCUCAUCACCUUGGAGCUACCACCGGGACUUCUGCUAACUUCUGAUAGCAAGAGUUCCUCUUCACGUUGGAAAAGCUACAAGGACUUCAGGCAACUUGUAAUGGCAACUAUUGUUCGUCACCCUGGAGCAGCAGCAGGGACUUCUGGGUACUUGUGAUUACAGCUGUUCGACUUCACCCUGGAGCUGCAGCAGGGACUUCUGGUUACUUGUGAUGAUAAGUGUUCGUCUUCACCCUCGAGCAGCAGCAGGGACUUCUGGCAACUUGUGAUGGCAACUGUUGUUCUUCACCAUGGAGUAGCAGCAUGGACUUCUGGUUAUAUGUUAUGUUAACUGUUGUUCUUCACCCUGGAGCAGCACCAGGGAUUUCUGGUUACUUGUGUUGGGAAGUUCUUUUUGUCACACUGGACAUGCAGCUGGGACGUCUAGUUAUUGGUGAUAGGAAGUGUUCUUCUUCAAAGGGGUAACUGCAGCUUCGACCUUUACUUGGUUGGGAUGGCAAAGGCCUCUCUCCACCCCUAAGCUGCAGUUGGGACGUCUGCGUAGUUGUGAUGGCAAAGGCCUCGUUUUGUCCUGGAGCAGUAAAUGAGACCUCUGCUAGGUUGUGAUGGCAAAGACCUCAGUCCAACCAAGAGCUGCAACUGAGACCUUUGAUUUGUUGUGAUAUCAAAGGACUCUCUACACCUCUAAGCUCCAGCUGUGUCUUCUGCAUUUUUCUUAGGGAAUUUGGUCUUCUUCAUCCAGUAGCUUCAGGAAAGAUUUCUGGUAACAUUUCAUGGCACGUGGUCCUCUUCACCUUGGAGCAGCAGCAGGGACUUCAGGCAACUUGUAUUGGCAACUGUUGUUCUUCACCCUGGAGCAGCAGCAGGGACUUCUGGGUACUUGUGGUCACAAGUGUUCCUCUUCACCCUGGAGCUACAGCAGGGACUUCUGGUUACUUGUGAUGACAAUUGUUCGUCUUCACCCUGGAGCAGCAGCAGAGACUUUGGGAUACUUGUGGUCACAAGUGUUCUUCUUCACCCUGGAGCAGCAACAGGGACUUCUGGGUACUUCUGUUCACAAAUGUUCCUCUUCACCCUGGAACUAAUGCACGGACUUCUGGUUACUUGUGAUCAAAAGUGUUUGUCGUCACCCUGGACCAGCAGCAGGGACUUCUGGCAACAUGUGAUGGCAACUGUUGUUCUUCACCCUGGAGCAGCAGCAGGGAUUUCUCGUUACUUGUGAUGGCAAGUGUUCCUCUUCACCCUGGAGCUGCAGCAAGGACUUCUGGUUACUUGUGGUCACAAGUGUUCCUCUUCACCCUGGAGGUGCAGCAGGGACUUCUGGCAACUUGUAAUGGCAACUGUUUUUCUUCACCCUGGUGCAGCAGCAGGGACUUCUGCGUACUUGUGGUCACAAGUGUUCCUCUUCACCUUGGAGCGGCAGCAGGGACUUCAGGCAACAUGUGAUGGCAACAGUUGUUCUUUGCCCUCGAGCAGUAGCAGGAAUUAGGGGUAUUUAUGGUCGCAAUUAUUCCUCUUCACCCUGGAGCUUAAGAAGGGACUUCUGACAACAUGUGAUGGCAAGUGUUCCUCUUCACCGUGGAGCUGCAGCAGGGACUUCUGGCAAGUUGUGAUGGCAAGUGUUCCUCUUCACCCUGGAGCAGCAGGAGGGACUUCUGGCUACUUGUGUUGACUAGUGUUCCUCUUCACCCUGGAGUGGCAGCAGGGACUUCAGGGUAACUUGUGAUGGCAACAGUUGUUCUUUGCCCUUGAGCAGCAGCAGGGAUUCUGGGUACUUGUGGUCACAAGUAUUCCUCGUCACCCUGGAGAUGCAGCAGGGACUUCUGGUUCCUUGUGGUGGCAAGUUCUUUUCGUCAAACUGGACCUACAGGUGGGACGUCCAGUUAUUGGAGAUAGGAAGUGUUCUUCAAACAGGAGCUACAGCUUGGACCUCUGCUUAGUUGUGAUGGGAAUGGCCUCCUUCCACCCAUAAGCUGCAGCUGGCACAUCUAUGUAGUUGUGAUGGCAAAGGCCUCUCUCAACCCUAAGCUUCAGCUCUGUCCUAUGCAUUUUUCUUAGGGCAAUUGGUCUUCUUCACCCAGUAGUUACAGGAAAGAUUUCUGCUAACAUUUGAUGGCAAGUGGUCCUCUUCAACCUGGAGCAGCAGCAGGGAUUUCUGGUUACUUGUGAUGACAAGUGUUUCUCUUCACCCUGUAGCGGCUUCAGGGACUUCUGGUUACUUGGGGUCACAAGUGUUCCUCUUCACCCUGGAGCAGCAGCAGGGACUUCUGGUAAGUUGACCUGGCAAGUGUUCCUCUAUACGCUGGAGCUGCAGCAGGGACUUCGGGUAAGUUGUGCUGGCAAGUGUUCCUCUUCACCCUAGAGCAGCAGCAGGGACUUCUGGUAAAUUGACCUGGCAAUUGUUCCUCUAUACCCUGGAGCUGCAGCAGGGACUUCUGGUAAGUUGUGCUGGCAAGUGUUCCUUUUCAACCUAGGGCAGCAGCAGGGAUUUCUGGUUACUUGUGAUGACAAGUGUUUCUCUUCACCCUGUAGCGGCAGCAGGGACUUCUGGUUACUUGGGGUCACAAGUGUUCCUCUUCACCCUGGAGCAGCAGCAGGGACCUCUGGGUACUUGUGGUCACAACUUUUCCUCUUCACCCUGGAGCUACAGCAGGGCCUUCUGGUAACUUUUGAUGGCAAGUUGUUCCUCUUCACCUUGGAGCUGCAGGAGGGACUUUUGGUUACUUGUGAUCACAAGUGUUCCUCUUCACCCUGGAGGUACAGCAGGGACUUCUGAUUACUUGUGAUGGCAACUGUUGUUCUUCACCAUGGAGUAGCAGCAGGGAUUUCUGGGUACUUGUGGUCACAAGUGUUCCUCUUCACCCUGAAGCAGCAGCAGGGACUUCUGGCAACUUGUGAUGGCAAAUAUUGUUUUUCACCCUGGAGCAGCAGGAGGGACUUCUUGUUACUUGUGGAGGCAAGUUCUUUUCUUCACACUGGACCUGCAGCUGGGACAUUUAGUUAUUGGUGAUAGGAAGUGUUCUUCAAACAGGAGGUGCAGCUUGGACCUCUGCUUAGUUGUGAUGGCAAAGACCUCUCUCCACCCCUAAGCUGGAGUUGGGAAGUCUGCGUAGUUGUGAUGGCAAAGGCCUCGUUCUAUCCUGGAGCGGUAAAUGAGACCUCUGCUAGGUUGUGAUAGCAAAGACCUCUGUCCAACCCAGAGGUGCAACUGCGACCUCUGAUUUGUUGUGCUAUCAAAGGCCUCUCUCCACCCGUAAGCUGCAGAUGUGUCUUCUGCAUUUUUCUUAGGGAAUUUAAUCUUCAUCACCCAGUAGUUUCAGAAAAGAUUUCAGGGCACGUGGUCCUCUUCACCUUGGAGCAGCAGCCGGGACUUCUGGUAACUUGUGAUGGCAAGAGUUCCUCUUCACCUUGGAAAAGCUGCAGGGACUUCAGGCAACUUUUAAUGGCAACUAUUGUUCGUCACCCUGGAGCAGCAGCAGGGACUUCUGGGUACUUGUGAUGACAACUGUUCGUCUUCACCCUGGAGCUGCAGCAGGGAACUCUGGUUACUUGUGAUGACAAGUGUUUGUCUUCACCCUCGAGCAGCAGCAGGGACUUCGGCAAGUUGUGAUGGCAACUGUUGUUCUUCACCCUGGAGCAGCACCAGGGAUUUCUGGUUACUUGUGUUGGCAAGUUCUUUUUCUCACACUGGACAUGCAGCUGGGACGUCUAGUUAUUGGUGAUAGGAAGUGUUCUUCUUCAAAGGGGAGCUGCAGCUUGGACCUUUACUUGGUUGGGAUGGCAAAGGCCUCUCUCCACCCCUAAGCUGCAGUUGGGACGUCUGCGUAGUUGUGAUGGCAAAGGCCUCGUUCUAUCCUGGAGCAGUAAAUGAGACCUCUGCUAGGUUGUGAUAGCAAAGACCUCAGUCCAACCCAGAGCUGCAACUGAGACCUUUGAUUUGUUGUGAUAUCAAAGGCCUCUCUCCACCCCUAAGCUGCAGCUGUGUCUUCUGCAUUUUUCUUAGGGAAUUUGGUCUUCUUCACCCAGUAGCUUCAGGAAAGAUUUCUGGUAACAUUUCAUGGCACGUGGUCCUCUUCCCCCUGGAGCCGCAGCAGGGACUUCUGGUUACUUGUGAUGACAAUUGUUCGUCUUCACCCUGGAGCAGCAGCAGGGACUUCUGGGUACUUCUGUUCACAAGUGUUCCUCUUCACCCUGGAACUACAGCAGGGACUUCUGGUUACUUGUGAUCAAAAGUGUUCGUCGUCAACCUGGACCAACAGCAGGGACUUCUGGCAACAUGUGAUGGCAACUGUUGUUCUUCACCCUGGAGCAGCAGCAGGGAUUUCUCGUUACUUGUGAUGGCAAGUGUUCCUCUUCACCCUGGAGCUGCAGCAGGGACUUUUGGUUACUUGUGGUCAGAAAUGUUCUUCUUCACCCUAGAGCUGCAGCAGGGACUUUUGGUUACUUGUGGUCAGAAGUGUUCCUCUUCACCCUGGAGCGGCAGCAGGGACUUCAGGCAACAUCUGAUGGCAACAGUUGUUCUUCGCCCUCGAGCAGCAGCAGGAAUUAGGGGUACUUAUGUUCGCAAUUAUUCCUCUUCACCCUGGAGCUUAAGAAGGGACUUCUGACAACAUGUGAUGGCAAGUGUUCCUCUUCACCCUGGAGCUGCAACAGGGACUUAUAAUAACUUGUGAUGGGAAGUGUUCCUCUUCACCCUGGAGAUGCAGAAGGGACUUCUGGCAAGUUGUGAUGGCAAGUGUUCCUCUUCACCCUGGAGCGGCAGUAGGGACUUCUGUUAAGUUGUGCUGGCAAGUGUUCCUCUUCAACCUGGAGCAGCAGCAGGGAUUGCUGGUUACUUGUGAUGAAAAGUGUUUCUCUUCACCCUGGAGCAGCAGCAGGGAUUUCUGGCUACUUGUGUUGACUAGUGUUCCUCUUCACCCUGGAGCGGCAGCAGGGACUUCAGGGUAACUUGUGAUGGCAACAGUUGUUCUUCACCCUUGAGCAGCAGCAGGGAUUCUGGGUACUUGUGGUGGCAAAUUCUUUUCGUCACACUGGACCUACAGGUGGGACGUCCAGUUAUUGGAGAUAGGAAGUGUUCCUCAAACGGGAGCUACAGCUUGGACCUCCGCUUAGUUGUGAUGGGAAUGGCCUACUUCCACCCAUAAGCUGCAGCUGGCACUUCUAUGUAGUUGUGAUGGCAAAGGCCUCUCUCAACCCUAAGCUGCAGCUGUGUCCUAUGCAUUUUUUUUAGGGCAAUUGGUCUUCUUCACCCAGUAGUUACAGGAACGAUUUCUGCUAACAUUCCAUGGCAAGUGGUCCUCUUCACCCUGGAGCUCCAGCAGGGACUUCUGCUUACUUGUGAUGACAAGUUUUUCUCUUCACCCAGCAGCGGCAGUAGGGACUUCUGGUUACUUGGGGUCACAAGUGUUCCUCUUCACCCUGGAGCAGCAGCAGGGACUUCUGGUAAGUUGUGCUGGCAAGUAUUCCUCUUCACCCUGGAGCAGCAGCAGGGACUUCUGGUAAGUUGUGUUGGCAAGUGUUCCUUUUCAGCCUAGGGCAGCAGCAGGGAUUUCUGGUUACUUGUGAUGACAAGUGUUUCUCUUCACCCUGUAGCGGCAGCAGGGACUUCUGGUUACUUGGGGUCAUAAGUGUUCCUUGUCACCCCAGAGCAGCAGCAGGCACUUCUGGGUACUUGUGGUCACACGUGGUCUUCUUCACCCUGGAGCUACAGCAAGGAGCUACAACUUUCUGGUAAGUUGUGCUGGCAAGUGUUCCUCUUCACCCUGGAGCUGUAGCAGGGACUUCUGGUAAGUUGUGCUGGCAACUGUUCCUCUUCACCCUGGAGCUGUAGUAGGGACUUCUGGUUACUAGUGGUGGCAAGUUCUUUUUGUCACAAUGGACCUGCAGCUGGGACAUCAAGUUAUUGGUGAUAGGAAGUGUUCUUCUUCAAACGGUUGCUGCAGCUUGGACCUCUGUUUAGUUGUGAUGGCCAAGGGGUCUCUCCACUUCUAAGCUACACUUGGGCCAUCUGCGUAGUUCUGAUGGCAAAGGGCUCAUUCUCUCCUGGAGCGAUAAAUGAGACCUCUACUUUGUUUUGAUAGCAAAGACCUCUCUCCACCCCUAAGCUGCAGCUGCGUCCUCUGCAUUUUUCUUAGGGAAAUUGGUCUUCUUCACCCAGUAGCUACAGGAAAGAUUUCUGGUAACUUUUGAUGGCAAGUGGUCCUGUUCACCCUGUAGCUGCAGCAGGGACUUCUGGUAACUUGUGAUGGCAAGUGGUCCUCUUCACCCUGGAGCUGCUGCAGGGACUUCUGGUAACUUGUGAUGGCAAGUGUUCCUCUUCACCCUGGAGCUGUAGCAGGGACUUCUGGUAACUUGUGAUGGCAAGUGUUCAUCUUCACCCUGGAGCAGCAGCAGGGACUUCUUAUAACUUGUGAUGGCAACUGUUGUUCUUCACCCUGGAGCAGCAUCAAGGACUUCUGUUAACUUGUGAUGGCAAGUGUUACUCUUCACCCUGGAGCAGCAUCAAGGACUUCUGUUAACUUGUGAUGGCAAGUGUUACUCUUCACCCUGGAGCUGCAGCAGGGACUUCUGUUAACUUGUGAUGGCAAGUCUUCCUCUUCACUGUGGAGCAGCAGCAGGGACUUCUGGUUACUUGUGGUGGAAAGUUCUUUUCGUCACACUGGACCUGCAACUGUGACUUACAGUUGUUGGUGAUAGGAAGUGUUAUUCUUCAAAUGGGCGCUGCAGCUUAGACCUCUGCUUAGUUGUGAUGGCAAAGGCCUCCCUCCACCCAUAAGCUGCAGCUGGGACAUCUGUGUAGUUGUGAUUGCAAAGGCCUCUCUCCAUCGUGGAGCUGCAGCUGAGACAGUUUCUUUGUUGUGAUGGCAAAGGCCUCUCUACACCCUAAGCUGCAGCUGCAUCCUCUGCAUUUUUCUUAGGGCAACUGGUCUUCUUCUCCCAGUAGCUGCAGGACAGAUUUCUGGUAACUUUUGAUGGCAAGUGGUCCUCUUCACCCGGGAGCUGCAGCAGGGACUUCUGGUAACUUGUGAUGGCAAAUGUUCAUCUUCACUCUGGAUAAGCAGCAGGGACUUCUUGUAACUUGUGAUGGCAAGUGUUCCUCUUCACCCUGGAACUGCAGAAGGGACUUCUGGUAAGUUGUGCUGGCAAGUAUUCCUCUUCACCCUGGAGCAGCAGCAGGGACUUCUGGUAAGUUAUGCUGGCAAGUGUUCCUCUUCACCCUGGAGCAGCAGCAGGGACUUCUGGUAAGUUGACCUGGCAAGUGUUCCUCUAUACCCUGGAGCUGCAGCAGGGACUUCUGGUAAGUUGUGCUGGCAAGUGUUCCCUUUCACCCUGGAGCAGCAGCAGGGACUUCUGGUUACUUGGCGUCAUAAGUGUUCCUCGUCACCCUAGAACAGCAGCAGGGACUUCUGGGUACUUGUGGUCACACGUGGUCUUCUUCACCCUGGAGCUACAGCAAGGAUUUCUGGUAAGUUGUGCUGACAAGUGUUCCUCUUCACCCUGGAGCAGCAGCAGGGACUUCUGGUUACUUGUGGUGGCAAGUUCUUUUCAUCACACUGGACCUGCCGCUGGGACUUCCAGUUAUUGGUGAUACGAAGUGUUCUUCUUCAAACGGGAGUUGCAGCUUGCACAUCUGCUUAGUUGUGAUGGUAAAGGCCUCUCUCCAUCCCUAAGCUGCAGCUGAGUCCUCUGCAUUUUUCUUAGGGCAAUUGGUCUUCUUCACCCAGUAGCUGCAGGAAAGAUUUCUGGUAACUUUUGAUGGCAAGUGAUCCUCUUCACCCUGCAGCUGCUGCCGGGACUUCUGGUAACUUGUGAUGGCAAGUGUUCAUCUUCACUCUGGAUAAGCAGCAGGGACUUCUUGUAACUUGUGAUGGCAACUGUUGUUCUUCACCCUGGAGCAGCAUCAAGGACUUCUGGUAACUUGUGAUGGCAAGUGUUCCUCUUCACCCUGGAACUGCAGGAGGGACUUCUGGUAACUUUUGAUGGCAAGUGGUCCUGUUCACCCUGUAGCUGCAGCAGGGACUUCUGGUAACUUGUGAUGGCAAGUGGUCCUCUUCACCAAGGAGCUGCAGCAGGGACUUCUGGUAACUUUUGAUGGCAAGUGGUCCUGUUCACCCUGGAGCCGCAGCAGGGACUUCUGUUAACUUGUGUUGGCAAGUGUUCGUCUUCACCCUUGGACAACAGCAGUGACUUCUGGUUACUUGUGAUGACAAGUGUUCCUCUUCACCCUGGAGCAGCAGCAGGGACUUCUGGUUACUUGUGUUAGCAAGUUCUUUUCAUCACACUGGACCUUGCCCUGGGACUUCCAGUUAUUGGUGAUAGGAAGUGUUCCUCUUCAAACGGGAGUUGCAGCUUGCACAUCUGCUUAGUUGUGAUGGCAAAGGCCUCUCUGCAUCCCUAAGCUGCAGCUGCGUCCUCUGCAUUUUUCUUAGGGCAAUUGGUCUUCUUCAACCAGUAGCUGCAGGAAAGAUUUCUGCUAACUUGUGAUGGCAAGUGUUCCUCUUCAUUGUGGAGCAGAAGCAGGGACUUCUGGUAACUUGUGAUGGCAAGUGUUCAUCUUCACCCUAGAGCAGCAGCAGGGACUUCUUGUAACUUGUGAUGGCAACUGCUGUUCUUCACCCUGGAGCAGCAUCAAGGACUUCUGGUAACUUGUGAUGGCAAGUGUUGCUCUUCACCCUGGAGCUGCAGCAGGGACUUCUGGUUACUUGUGGUGGCCAGUUUUCCGCUUCACUGUGGAGCAGCAGCAGGGACUUUUGGUAACUUGUGAUGGCAAUUUCUUUUCGUCACACUGGACCUGCAGCUGGGAUUUCCCGUUAUUUGUUAUGGCAAGUUUUCUUCUUCCAACGGGAGCUGCAGCUUAGAACUCUGCUAGGUUGUGAUGGCAAAGGCCUCUCUCCAUCCUGGAUCUGCAGCUGGUACCUCUGCUUGGUUGUGAUGGCAAAGGCCUCUCUGUAUCCUGGAGCUGUAACUGAGACCUCUACAUGGGUUUGAUGGCAAAGGCCUCUCUCUACCCUGGAGCUUCAGCUGCGUUCUUUCCAUUUUUGUGAUGGCAAUUGGUCUUCACCCAGUAGCUGCAGCUGGGCCUUCUGGUUACUUGUGAUGGCAAGUCUUCCUCUUCUCCCUGGAGCUGCAGCAGGUACUUCUAGUAACUUGUAAUGGCAAUUGUUCUUCUUCACCCUGGAGUAGCAGCAGGGACUUCUGGUUUCUUGUGAUGAUGGGAAGUGUUCUUCAAAUGCAAACUGCAGCUGGGACCUCUGCUUGGUUGUGAUGACAAAGGCCUCUCUCCACCCCAGAGCUGCAGCUGGGACCUCUGCUUCAUUUUGAUGGCAAGUUCUCCUCUUCCCCCUGGAGCAGCAGCAGGGACUUCUGGCUACUUGUGAUGGCAAGUUCUUUUCUUCACCCUGGACCCGCAGCUGGGAAUUCUGGUGACUUGUGAUGCAAAGUGUUUUUCUUCUAACUGGAGCUGCAACUGGGACCUCUGGUUUGUUGUGAUGCCAAAGCCCUCUCUCCGUCCCAUGGCUGCAGCUGGGACCACUACUUGCUUGUGAUGGCAAGUGCUCCUCUUCACCCUGGAGCUUGUUACAGGGAAUUCUAGUUACUUGUGAUGGCAAGUGCUCCUCUUCACCCUGGAGCAGUAGCAGGGAAUGUGUUUACUUGUGAUAACAAGUGAUCGUCUUCACUCUGGAGCUCCAGGUGUUACCACCAGUUUUUUGUGAUGGCAUUGGCCUCUCUCCCCCUUUGUGUGAAACUGGUAAUGUCUACCGUGCCCACACAGAGCUGCCCCUAAUCACCUUUUUAGCAGUUGUCUAAUACUUGGUUUCUUGGCAGUGAAAACUUUAAGAAAUGUGACAACUAUUCCUGCAGCUAUCACUGUGCCUCCCGUCCUCCAAGAUCCAUAGUAAGUGCCCUUCCCUUUGCCUUCUGAGCCAGUGACCCAAACUUCUCCUCACCUCAAACAUUUUUUUCAGCUGGACAAACUUUUUCUUUGUAUGGCACUUCAGAAUUUGAUUAUUUGAUAUUUUCAAGUUUUUUGGAAAGGCAAGUUGGUAGAGUUCCACUGGAAUGUUCUCUCUGUUCCACCAUCUUGGGGUUUUUUAGGGGGUGCAAGAACUUCCACUCCUGAAACAAAUUAAAACAGUUCCCCAAAAGAGGAGCACUAGGGAAGAUUAGGAGGAAGCAGUGAUCUACUUCCACAAAUUCACCUGAGUAUUCUUUAUCAAUUACACUUGAAGAAUAUGUCUGAGCUGGCCAGCCAUGAUCAUAAUUUAGUAGUGUUUCUUUCAAGAAAUUGUUAAUAUGAUUGAACACUGGAUGCAAUAGCUAGGAAUGCUGGGUUCUAUUCUUGAGUCUUGCUCUUAGCUUUCUGUCAAAGUUUUCCGAGAUGUAAAGGCUUCACUUUAGGGAAAAUGGAAACCCAGAACAACUGGAUUGAAUCUCUGGGGAGUUCAUAGACUGGAAAACGAAAGAGAACUUGCCCAAAUCCAUGAGGCAUUCUCAAGUAAUUUAGAAUUCUAAUGGCACUGGCAGUGUUGAGCAGCAGCAGCAAUGUCCCUUUGUGACCAUGGGCCAUGCUUUCUCUGUAGAUUUGACUUUGGAUUACUU
ensembl:lncRNA